ACUGAUCCCGCCUGGGGCCGGCUGAGUGGCACUUAAGCGGGCCAUGCCAUGCAACCUUGGGCGCUGCCAACCGUGGGCGAGCUCUGGGUGUGCGGGCGGCCUGGCGCGGCGCUCCGCUGUGUCAGCGUGUUAUGAUGCCGUCCCGUACCAACCUGGCUACUGGAAUCCCCAGUAGUAAAGUGAAAUAUUCAAGGCUCUCCAGCACAGACGAUGGCUACAUUGACCUUCAGUUUAAGAAAACCCCUCCUAAGAUCCCUUAUAAGGCCAUCGCACUUGCCACUGUGCUGUUUUUGAUUGGCGCCUUUCUCAUUAUUAUAGGCUCCCUCCUGCUGUCAGGCUACAUCAGCAAAGGGAGUCUCGAAUCCACCUCACGGGAACAAAAGAAAGCUGACCACAAACAUCUACCAGCAUCCCGUGGGUACAUGAUGGGAGGCAUCAGUGGGAGGAGUCCCGAAGGAGGACUCAGCUCAAGGCUUCCAGAAGGAAGAGGAACACAGGUGUCAUCACCUGACUGAGGUUGGUGCCUCUAAUUUGAGAUAAGCAUCUUAAAAGGGCUAAACUGAAAAUGUCCUAGGAAUAAGUACGUCAGCAUGAAAAUGACUGAUUGUAAAAUGCAGCAGAGAGCUUCUCCUACUAAGAGCAGGAUAUGUGGAGGGAAUGUUCCAUAUGCCUAGAGGAGCAGGCCAAAGGAAUUCCAGCUGCCCUCUACCCCCUAUGCAACUCCUCUUGUGAAUGGUGAGAAUGGCGCAGACCACUCCCCAUGGCCCCACCUCUGUUCCUGAGGGUAGGAGGAUUCCUGUCCCCUUCAUACCAUCCUUGGUACUGAGAGCGAUGCUGAAGAGACUGGGAUGCUCAUAUUCUCACAAAGGGACUGCAGGGUGGUACAGAUGGCUGGAUGCCCAGUACUACAUCCAUUCUCCCCUUUUUCUUUAGUAAUAGAACCACUGAACCUUAGCUGGAUGAGUAAUAAAACCGCUGGAUAAUCUUGGCCUAACAUGGUGAUAUGAUUUGGCUCUGUGUCCCCACCCGAAUCUCACUUUGAAUUGUAAUCCCUGUAAUUCCCAUGUAUCAAAGGAGGUACUAGGUGGAGGUAAUUGGAUCAUGGGGUGGUUUCCCCCAAGCUGUUCUUGUGAUAGUGAGUGACUCUCAUGAGAUCUGAUGGUUUUAUAAGCAUCUGGCAUUUCCCCUGCUUGCACUCACUCUGUCCUGGUGCGCUGUGAAGAAGGUGCCUGCUUCUCCUUUGCCUUCCACCAUGAUUGUAAGUUUCCUGAGGCCUCCCUGGCAAUGCAGAACUGUGAGUCAAUUAAACUUCUUUUCUUUAUAAAUUACCUAAUCUCGGAUAUUUCUUCAUAGCAGUGUGAGAACAGACUAAUACGCACAGCCAUUAAUAGAAAAGCUACGUUUUCCAGCAUGCCUUCUAACUAGGUAUGGUCAUGUGGCUAGGUUCUGACCAAUGGAACACAGGUGGAAGUUGUUGGAGAAAACGCCUUAAAACGGGAACAGCUGCAAUAUCAGCUGCAAGACAUUCUUUUACCUUUCCACCUGCCUGGGACCUGGAUGUGGAACUGCAGUGUGCCUUGCAAACUUGAAGAGAACGACCUUGAUAAUGGAUGGUGAAGCAAGAAAGAGGAGCCUGAGGCUGAGCGCAGUGACUCACACCUGUAAUCCCAGCACUUUGGGAGGCUAAGGUGGGCAGAUUGCUUGAGCCCAGGAAUUUGAGACCAGCCUGGAUAACGCGUGGUGGGCAGUUCCAGGACACCUGACAUGUUCCCACUGCAGAAACCACACGGGUUUCUCCAGCACCACUGAGACUUGCUCAGCCUGUGUAGAGUAGCCUGGACAUACUGGGGCUUUAUUUUCCUGAGGACAACCCUCAACCAAUGAGUGCCAGGAAUCAGUGAGUAACUGCCCACCUGUUUUCCCCCCUCACCGGAUAAUUCUGAAGCAUCUUUUACCCAGCUCUGCAGAGGAUCCCUGCAGGACUGAGCCUGGUGCCCGCAGUGAUCAUCUGCACUUCAAUGCACCUUUCCUUGGCUUUCCGCCCUGCGCCGUUUCUCACUUCUCCACUACUUGGAGUCCUUUCCAAAGAAACUAUCCAUACCUGAAAUCUACUUUUACGUAAACCCAAGCUAAGACGGUGGAAUAUUGCUUCAUUUUGAAGUCAGUGGGAGCAAUUAAAAGCUUAAACAGGG